AUUGAACGCUGGCGGCAUGCCUUACACAUGCAAGUCGAACGGCAGCACGGGAGCAAUCUUGGUGGCGAGUGGCGAACGGGUGAGUAAUAUAUCGGAACGUACCUAUGAGUGGGGGACAACGCAGCGAAAGUUGCGCUAAUACCGCAUACGGUCUACGGAAGAAAGUGGGGGACCUGGCGACAGGCCUCACGCUCAUGGAGCGGCCGAUAUCUGAUUAGCUAGUUGGAGAGGUAAAAGCUCCCCAAGGCGAUGAUCAGUAGCUGGUCUGAGAGGACGGCCAGCCACACUGGAACUGAGACACGGUCCAGACUCCUACGGGAGGCAGCAGUGGGGAAUUUUGGACAAUGGGGGCAACCCUGAUCCAGCAAUGCCGCGUGAGUGAAGAAGGCCCUCGGGUUGUAAAGCUCUUUUGUCAGGGAAGAAACGGUUUUUUCUAAUAAAAGGAACUAAUGACGGUACCUGAAGAAUAAGCACCGGCUAACUACGUGCCAGCA
rnacentral:rRNA from 1 species